CCUUCGUCGCCGAGUGGUGUGCGAGCGACUGGGCCGUCUCGAAAACUGUCUCGUGGGUAGACUCAAACAUAUGAUUAAUAUUGACCAUAGUGCAUAUCUAUUUUGGGUCAUUGUUGAGAAAUACAUUUAACGAUACUGUUAUAUUUCUAGAAAAGAUAGAGAAUGGCUGCUGCCGCCGAGGUGAACGGUACUUCUUCCCUGGUGAGGGAGGAAGAGGAGCCUAUGGAAGUCACUGCCGAAGGCGAGCACACAGAGAACUACCAGACACUCAUCGACGCUGGACUGCCUCAGAAAGUGGCCGAGAGUCUCGACAACGUAUUCUCAACUGGCUUGGUGGCGUAUGCUGACCUGGAUGAGAGGGCCAUUGAUGCUCUGCGGGAGUUCAAUGAAGAGGGAGCGCUGUCUGUACUGUUGCAGUUCAAAGAAAGUGACCUGUCCCAUGUGCAGAACAAAAGUGCUUUCCUUUGUGGAGUCAUGAAGACGUACAGACAGAGGGAAAAGCAGGGAAGUAAAGUACAAGAAUCCACCAAGGGUCCCGAUGAGUCCAAGAUCAAGGCUCUGUUGGAGCGGACAGGAUACACCUUGGACGUCACCACGGGACAGAGGAAAUAUGGAGGGCCCCCACCAGAGGAAGUGUUCCAGGGAGCACAGCCUGGGAUUGGAACUGAGGUGUUUGUGGGAAAGAUACCCAGAGAUCUGUAUGAAGACGAGCUGGUGCCACUGUUUGAGAAGGCGGGAACAAUCUGGGACCUGAGGCUAAUGAUGGACCCCCUGUCGGGUCAGAACCGGGGAUACGCCUUCAUCACCUUCUGCGGCAAGGAUGCAGCAGCUGAGGCGGUGAAACUUUGUGAUAACUAUGAAAUCCGGUCUGGGAAAUACCUUGGAGUGUGCAUAUCUGUAGCAAACAACCGCCUGUUUGUUGGAUCAAUCCCAAAGAACAAGACCAGAGAGAGCAUAUUGGAGGACUUUGGCAAAGUCACAGAGGGGCUUCAGGAAGUGAUCCUCUACCACCAGCCGGACGACAAGAAGAAGAACCGUGGCUUCUGUUUCCUGGAGUAUGAGGACCACAAAUCUGCAGCCCAGGCCCGCCGCCGCCUUAUGAGCGGCAAGGUGAAGGUGUGGGGGAACCCGGUCACUGUGGAGUGGGCUGACCCGGUCGCUGAGCCCGACCCGGAUAUCAUGGCGAAGGUGAAAGUCCUGUUUGUCAGGAAGCUAGCCACCCCGGUCACAGAGGAGCUACUGGAGAAGACCUUCUCUGCGUUUGGAAAGCUGGAGCGGGUGAAGAAGCUCAAAGACUACGCCUUUGUUCACUUUGAGGACAGGGACGCAGCUGUGAAGGCAAUGGCAGAAAUGAAUGGGAAGGAGCUGGGGGGAGAGGAGAUUGAGAUAGUCCUGGCCAAGCCCCCUGACAAGAAAAGGAAAGAGAGGCAGGCUCAGCGCCAGACCACCAGAAACCCAGGGUAUGAUGACUAUUACUACUACCCACCGCCACGCAUGCCUCCACCAGGUAGAGGCAGGGGCCGUGGUAGCAGAGGGGGCGGUGGCUACGCCGCCUACCCCCCAGACUACUACAGCUACGAGGACUACUACGAUGACUACUACGGCUACGACUACCACGACUACCGCGGGGGUUACGAGGACCCGUACUACGGUUACGACGAUGUGUACAGCAUGAGGGGCCGUGGCAGCCGCCCCAGCAGGGGAGGGCCACCCAGGACCCGCGGAGCACAACCCCCACGGGGCCGAGGGGGCUAUGCCCAGAGAGGGCCACCCAUCGGCGGGCCCAGGGGUGGCAGAGGGGGCCGUGGGGGACCAUUCCAACCACAGAGGGGCCGAGGUACCCGAGGAGCCAGGGGGAACCGCGGGGGCAAUGUGGGCGGGAAGAGGAAGGCGGAUGUCUUCAACCAGCCUGACUCCAAGCGCCGGCAGAUCAACCAGCAGAACUGGGGGUCCCAGCCCAUCGCCCAGCAGCCCCUGCAGCAAGGGGCCGACUAUUCCGACUGUAGGGGAGCUUCCCUCAAGCUAGCCCUCACCCUGCCCUUCCUGUGGACCAGUUAGGUUGGGCUCAUUUGAGAUGGAGUGGAUUUAUGGCCCUCCUAAGGAGACCUCUGUUAUUUUCUCCAAACUCCCAGCCUGGGCCACAGUGGGCAUCGACAUCUCCCCUGACGAACUCCUGGCAUAUUUCCGAGCCCAGGCUGAUGAAAAAACUCCAAGGCUACUCUACUACAUUGAUCUCCUGUCCCCAUACCUCUCACCUCUGCUGCUAGUCUUUGUCAUAGCUGCUGCUGGCUACCAUGCUUACAGAAAAAUACGGAAAUGGAAGGAGUGGUCGGAGGCAGAUGCCCUGUCUAAGCAGCUACAUCAAGGCCUGGAACUUAAGGAGAGCCUGGCAGCAAGGGUGAGGGAGGCCAGUCAGUGCCUGGAGGCCCUGCAGGAGGCCAAGCGAGCUGUCCGGGGCAGAAGGGGCAGGCACUGUCGCCGCUGUGGCUCCUCCACCAGAUACCAUGAAGACAGCCUGCUGGACACCAGCAAGAGACAAUAAAAUAUGAGGGGAAAGUUGGACUGUGUGUGUCCCAUUUUUCAUUAACUGAAAUAAAAGAUCCCAUUUUCCAUAUGCACAAAAAGCUUAUUUCUCACAAAUGUUGUGCACAAAUGUGUUUACAUCCCUGUUAGUGAUGAUUUCUCCUUUGCCAAGGUAAUCCAUCUGACCGGUGUGGCAUAAAGAAGCUGAUUAAAUGGCAUGAUUAUUAUACAGGAGCACCUUGUGCUGGGGUGUGUAAUUGGCAUGCUGACUGCAGGAAAGUCCACCAGAGCUGUUGCCAGAGAAUGUGAUGUUCACUUCUCUACCAUAAGCCACCUCCAAUGUUGUCUUAGAGAAUUUGUCAGUACGUCCAUCUGGCCUCACAACCACAGACCAUGUGUAACCAUGCUAGCCCAGGACCUCCACAUCUGGCUUAUUCACCUGCGUAAUUGUCUGAGACCAGCCACCCGUACAAGUGAUGAAACUUGAGUAUUUCUGUCUGUAAUAAAUCCCUUUAGUGGGAGGAAAAGGUAUUCUGAUUAGCUCGGCCUGGCUCCCUGCUCACAUCAGUCAUGUAAAAUCCAUACAUUGAACAAUGAAUUUAUACUGAACAAUAUAAAUGCAACAAUUUCAACGAA